UCACGUGUCUCUCUGGCAACCACUGAACGUAGCCCGCGGCGCCAGCGAUCCAAGUUUCCUCGGGCGCGAUGCCACGCGAGCGGUGGUCGGGGACAAAGCGGUUCCCUGGGCCGGCACUACGCGGCCCGCGGCUCACACCAGCGGGAUUCGAACCGCGGCCUGCCGUAGAUUAACUCGGGACCAGGCCGGGCGCGGUGGCUCACGCCUGUAAUCCCAGCACUUUGGGAGGCCAGGGCAGGUAGAGCACCUGAGGUCAGGAGUUCGAGAGCAGCCUGGCCUACAUGGCGAAACCCCUUCUCUACUAAAAAUACAAAAAUUAGCUGGGCUUGGUGACAGGCGCCUGUAAUCCCAGCUACUCGGGAGGCCGAGGCACAAGAAUCGCUUGAACUCAGGAGGCGGAGGUUGCAGUGAGCCGAGAUCCACCACUGCACUCCAGCCUGGGCGACACAGCGAGACUCCGUCUCAAAAAAAAAAAAAAAAAAAAAAGAAAUAGAAAAAGUCGGGAACCUGGCAAGCUGCCUAACUGCUCUGUGCGUCGGUGUCCUCACCUGUGAUGCGGGGACAAAGCUGAAGAAGCCAGCAACCUGAAAACACCAAUGGGCACAGACAGAAGAACCUGCUCGCUCCAGCCAGAGACGUAUGAGGACUUGUAGGCACAGCAAGAAGGCUCUCAACAGUCACCAGAUACAGAGUCUCACUGUGUUUCCCAAGCUGGUCUCAAAUUCCUGGGCUCAAGUGAUCCUCCUGCCUCGGCCUCCCAAAAUGCUGGAAUUACAGACAUCAGCCACUACUCCCUUCCCUCCACUCCCCUCCCCUCCACUCCCCUCCUCUCCCCUCCCC
rnacentral:lncRNA from 10 species